UACGUAGGGUGCGAGCGUUAAUCGGAAUUACUGGGCGUAAAGCGUGCGCAGGCGGUUCGCAAAGUCUGAUGUGAAAGCCCCCGGCUCAACUGGGGAGGGUCAUUCGAUACUGAUCGACUCGAAGGCAGGAGAGGGUAGUGGAAUUCCCGGUGUAGUGGUGAAAUGCGUAGAUAUCGGGAGGAACACCAGUGGCGAAGGCGACUACCUGGCCUGUUCUUGACGCUGAGGCGCGAAAGCUAGGGGAGCAAACGGG
rnacentral:rRNA from 1 species